rnacentral:rRNA from 1 species
GACGAACGCUGGCGGCGUGCCUAAUACAUGCAAGUCGAGCGGAACUGGGGGAGCUUGCUCCUUCCAGUUUAGCGGCGGACGGGUGAGUAACACGUGGGCAACCUGCCCUGCAGAUCGGGAUAACUCCGGGAAACCGGUGCUAAUACCGAAUAGUUUGGCGCCUCUCCUGAGGCGCUACGGAAAGACGGUUUCGGCUGCCACUGCAGGAUGGGCCCGCGGCGCAUUAGCUAGUUGGUGGGGUAACGGCCCACCAAGGCGACGAUGCGUAGCCGGCCUGAGAGGGUGACCGGCCACACUGGGACUGAGACACGGCCCAGACUCCUACGGGAGGCAGCAGUAGGGAAUCUUCCGCAAUGGACGCAAGUCUGACGGAGCAACGCCGCGUGAGUGACGAAGGUUUUCGGAUCGUAAAACUCUGUUGUGAGGGAAGAACACGUACCAACUAACUAUUGGUACCUUGACGGUACCUCACCAGAAAGCCACGGCUAACUACGUGCCAGCCGCCGCCGUAA